AGAUGCGUCCCUAUACUGUCUACUGGUUGCUAGUGCAGGCUAAUGAGUUUGAAAACCCUAAUUUUUGUGAAAUAUAGAUUGCAGAUCAC